rnacentral:lncRNA from 1 species
GGCAGAAGGGACUUGCCUUGUCUCAGAUGAGACUUUGAACUGUGGACCUCUGAGUUAAUGCUGAAAUGAGGGGCAGAGAGAUGGCUUUUUCAGGAUGGCAGCAAGGAACAUUUCAUGGAGCACACAUUGGAUUUGAGCUUGCCCUUGAGGAUCUGGACGACAGAAAAAGAUAAGCGAAGGGGAACUCUGAGAGCUCUACCGUUUUCCGUAGGUCCCACCACUCAUCAGAGUCACAGAGCAAAGCUGCAUACCUGGGUGCCAGACGCCAGCCACUCUCCACCGGCACUGCGUUGGGGGUGAGCUUCUUAACAGGUGGUGCAAACAUGAAUGCUCUCCACCUGCGGGCCCCAGCUACACCUCAGAGCAAUCUCGGAGCCUUUAUAAAUAAAAAUGUCUCAAGUCC